CUGCUCCUAGUACGAGAGGACCGGAAUGGACGCAUCACUGGUGUUCGGGUUGUCAUGCCAAUGGCACUGCCCGGUAGCUAAAUGCGGAAGAGAUAAGUGCUGAAAGCAUCUAAGCACGAAACUUGCCCCGAGAUGAGUUCUCCCUGACUCCUUGAGAGUCCUGAAGGAACGUUGAAGACGACGACGUUGAUAGGCCGGGUGUGUAAGCGCAGCGAUGCGUUGAGCUAACCGGUACUAAUGAACCGUGAGGCUUAACCUUACAACGCCGAAGGUGUUU
rnacentral:rRNA from 1 species